rnacentral:rRNA from 1 species
AGGACGAACGCUGGCGGCGUGCUUAACACAUGCAAGUCGAGCGGUAAGGCCUUUCGGGGUACACGAGCGGCGAACGGGUGAGUAACACGUGGGUGAUCUGCCCUGCACUUCGGGAUAAGCCUGGGAAACUGGGUCUAAUACCGGAUAUGACUUCAGGUUGCAUGACUUGGGGUGGAAAGAUUUAUCGGUGCAGGAUGGGCCCGCGGCCUAUCAGCUUGUUGGUGGGGUAAUGGCCUACCAAGGCGACGACGGGUAGCCGACCUGAGAGGGUGACCGGCCACACUGGGACUGAGACACGGCCCAGACUCCUACGGGAGGCAGCAGUGGGAAUAUGCACAAUGGGCGAAAGCCUGAUGCAGCGACGCCGCGUGAGGAUGACGGCCUUCGGGUGUAAACCUCUUUCAGCAGGACGAAGCGACAAGUGACGGUACCUGCAGAAGAAGCACCGGACUAACUACCGUGCCAGCAGCCGAC